rnacentral:rRNA from 1 species
UAACAAGGAUUCCCCUAGUAACUGCGAGUGAAGCGGGAAAAGCUCAAAUUUAAAAUCUGGCGGUCUUCUGGCCGUCCGAGUUGUAGUCUGGAGAAGCGUUUUCCGCGUUGGCCCGUGUACAAGUUUCCUGGAACGGAGCGUCAUAGAGGGUGAGAAUCCCGUCUUUGACACGGACCCCAAUGCUUUGUGAUGCGCUCUCAAAGAGUCGAGUUGUUUGGGAAUGCAGCUCAAAAUGGGUGGUGAAUUCCAUCUAAAGCUAAAUAUUGGCGAGAGACCGAUAGCGAACAAGUACCGUGAGGGAAAGAUGAAAAGCACUUUGGAAAGAGAGUUAAACAGUACGUGAAAUUGUUGAAAGGGAAACGCUUGAAGUCAGUCGCGUCGUCCGGGACUCAGCCUUGCAUCCGCUUGGUGUACUUUCCGGUCGACGGGCCAGCAUCAGUUUUGACCGCGAGAUAAAGGCGGAGGGAAUGUGGCUCUUUCGGGAGUGUUAUAGCCCUUCGUCAGAUGUCGCGGUUGGGACUGAGGAACUCAGCACGCCUUUAUGGCCGGGGUUCGCCCACGUACGUGCUUAGGAUGCUGGCGUAAUGGCUUUAAACGAC